GGCUCCAGAAGCAGAAAAGGGCUCCGGUCAGAGUCUGCUCUCUGGAGAGGGUGAAGCAGCCUCAGAACGGAUUCUGCGGACUCUUCAUCUUAGUCUUUGGAUCCUUUUCUGCAAGAACUCACACAAUGAAUGCCGAAAGGGAGAAGUGGCAAUAUCCACAYUUAAUUGUCUCCAACCUCCUGACACGGUGAAACGGGGACGGAAGGUCUGAAUUGCCAYGAGUGCCCGAGCUGAGGCAGCCCGGGCCAGGCCUGCGGGCGGCUCUGCCA